rnacentral:lncRNA from 1 species
GAGCUGUAGAUGUCUACCAUCAAAAAGCUCAAGGAUGUUUUAUUUUAUAAACUUUUCAUAUGUAGUCUUUUGGCGUUAUUGUCCUUCUAAUAUAGUCAAUUAGGACUAUUUUGCACGGGUGCAUUUUGUGCGAAACUGUUGGAUCCAUUAUUCCAGGAUAAAAAUUGCUGCUUUUCCUUUAAUUCUAUGUAAUCUGCUGAGUGACUGUUAUAGAUGAUGGCUUGGUCUUUGUUCUUCCUUAUUACUAAACAUAGAUUUUGUUUUCCUUCAGUUAUCAGCAAUGCAUUCAUUUUCUUCUUGAGUUGGGACAGGCUUCGGGGAGAAAAUGUUUCUUAGGCCUCAUUUGAGGGGAUUGGGUGGGUUUUCCCAAUCAGUUUUGCUGUGCAUUUAUAUCAUCAAGCUCAGAUUGUGUAUAUUAGCUUCAUUUUCCCCUUACCCAUGAUAUUGAAUGUAUUUAUUCUGUUCUAUCGCCCCUCUGUUUUCGUUGUGCCAUACUGUAAUUCAAGGUUCAAUGGAAGUUCAGGUCUCUGUUCAAGACUGAAUUGCCACCCAAUCUUUAGUUUCUAAUAAAAAAAAUUGUUGUCUUG